rnacentral:rRNA from 1 species
GGGUUGUGAGGUUAAGCGACUAAGCGUACACGGUGGAUGCCCUGGCAGUCAGAGGCGAUGAAGGACGUGCUAAUCUGCGAAAAGCGUCGGUAAGGUGAUAUGAACCGUUAUAACCGGCGAUGUCCGAAUGGGGAAACCCAGUGCAAUUCGUUGCACUAUCGUUAACUGAAUACAUAGGUUAACGAGGCGAACCGGGGGAACUGAAACAUCUAAGUACCCGAGGAAAAGAAAUCAACCGAGAUUCCCCCAGUAGCGGCGAGCGAACGGGGAGCAGCCCAGAGUCUGAAUCAGCUUGUGUGUUAGUGGAACGGUCUGGAAAGUCCGACGGUACAGGGUGAUAGUCCCGUACACCAAAAUGCACAGGCUGUGAACUCGAAGAGUAGGGCGGGACACGUGGUAUCCUGUCUGAAUAUGGGGGGACCAUCCUCCAAGGCUAAAUACUCCUGACUGACCGAUAGUGAACCAGUACCGUGAGGGAAAGGCGAAAAGAACCCCGGCGAGGGGAGUGAAAAAGAACCUGAAACCGUGUACGUACAAGCAGUGGGAGCACCUUCGGGUGUGACUGCGUACCUUUUGUAUAAUGGGUCAGCGACUUAUAUUCUGUAGCAAGGUUAACCGUAUAGGGGAGCCGCAGGGAAACCGAGUCUUAACUGGGCGUUAAGUUGCAGGGUAUAGACCCGAAACCCGGUGAUCUAGCCAUGGGCAGGUUGAAGGUUGGGUAACACUAACUGGAGGACCGAACCGACUAAUGUUGAAAAAUUAGCGGAUGACUUGUGGCUGGGGGUGAAAGGCCAAUCAAACCGGGAGAUAGCUGGUUCUCCCCGAAAGCUAUUUAGGUAGCGCCUCGUGAACUCAUCUUCGGGGUAGAGCACUGUUUCGGCUAGGGGGUCAUCCCGACUUACCAACCCGAUGCAAACUACGAAUACCGAAGAAUGUUAUCACGGGAGACACACGGCGGGUGCUAACGUCCGUCGUGAAGAGGGAAACAACCCAGACCGCCAGCUAAGGUCCCAAAGUCAUGGUUAAGUGGGAAACGAUGUGGGAAGGCACAGACAGCCAGGAUGUUGGCUUAGAAGCAGCCAUCAUUUAAAGAAAGCGUAAUAGCUCACUGGUCGAGUCGGCCUGCGCGGAAGAUGUAACGGGGCUAAACCAUGCACCGAAGCUGCGGCAGCGACACUAUGUGUUGUUGGGUAGGGGAGCGUUCUGUAAGCCUGCGAAGGUGUGCUGUGAGGCAUGCUGGAGGUAUCAGAAGUGCGAAUGCUGACAUAAGUAACGAUAAAGCGGGUGAAAAGCCCGCUCGCCGGAAGACCAAGGGUUCCUGUCCAACGUUAAUCGGGGCAGGGUGAGUCGACCCCUAAGGCGAGGCCGAAAGGCGUAGUCGAUGGGAAACAGGUUAAUAUUCCUGUACUUGGUGUUACUGCGAAGGGGGGACGGAGAAGGCUAUGUUAGCCGGGCGACGGUUGUCCCGGUUUAAGCAUGUAGGCUGGUUGUCCAGGCAAAUCCGGAUAAUCAAGGCUGAGGUGUGAUGACGAGGCACUACGGUGCUGAAGUAACAAAUGCCCUGCUUCCAGGAAAAGCCUCUAAGCAUCAGGUAACAUCAAAUCGUACCCCAAACCGACACAGGUGGUCAGGUAGAGAAUACCAAGGCGCUUGAGAGAACUCGGGUGAAGGAACUAGGCAAAAUGGUGCCGUAACUUCGGGAGAAGGCACGCUGGUGUGUAGGUGAAGCCCCUGCGGGUGGAGCUGAGACCAGUCGAAGAUACCAGCUGGCUGCAACUGUUUAUUAAAAACACAGCACUGUGCAAACACGAAAGUGGACGUAUACGGUGUGACGCCUGCCCGGUGCCGGAAGGUUAAUUGAUGGGGUUAUCCGUAAGGAGAAGCUCUUGAUCGAAGCCCCGGUAAACGGCGGCCGUAACUAUAACGGUCCUAAGGUAGCGAAAUUCCUUGUCGGGUAAGUUCCGACCUGCACGAAUGGCGUAAUGAUGGCCAGGCUGUCUCCACCCGAGACUCAGUGAAAUUGAACUCGCUGUGAAGAUGCAGUGUACCCGCGGCAAGACGGAAAGACCCCGUGAACCUUUACUAUAGCUUGACACUGAACAUUGAGCCUUGAUGUGUAGGAUAGGUGGGAGGCUUUGAAGCGUGGACGCCAGUCUGCGUGGAGCCAACCUUGAAAUACCACCCUUUAAUGUUUGAUGUUCUAACGUUGGCCCCUUACCGGGGUUGCGGACAGUGUCUGGUGGGUAGUUUGACUGGGGCGGUCUCCUCCCAAAGCGUAACGGAGGAGCACGAAGGUUAGCUAAUCCUGGUCGGACAUCAGGAGGUUAGUGCAAUGGCAUAAGCUAGCUUGACUGCGAGCGUGACGGCGCGAGCAGGUGCGAAAGCAGGUCAUAGUGAUCCGGUGGUUCUGAAUGGAAGGGCCAUCGCUCAACGGAUAAAAGGUACUCCGGGGAUAACAGGCUGAUACCGCCCAAGAGUUCAUAUCGACGGCGGUGUUUGGCACCUCGAUGUCGGCUCAUCACAUCCUGGGGCUGAAGUAGGUCCCAAGGGUAUGGCUGUUCGCCAUUUAAAGUGGUACGCGAGCUGGGUUUAGAACGUCGUGAGACAGUUCGGUCCCUAUCUGCCGUGGGCGCUGGAGAAUUGAGGGGGGCUGCUCCUAGUACGAGAGGACCGGAGUGGACGCAUCACUGGUGUUCGGGUUGUCAUGCCAAUGGCACUGCCCGGUAGCUAAAUGCGGAAGAGAUAAGUGCUGAAAGCAUCUAAGCACGAAACUUGCCCCGAGAUGAGUUCUCCCUGAGACUUUAAGUCUCCUGAAGGAACGUUGAAGACGACGACGUUGAUAGGCCGGGUGUGUAAGCGCAGCGAUGCGUUGAGCUAACCGGUACUAAUGAACCGUGAGGCUUAACCUUACAACGCCGAAG